rnacentral:rRNA from 1 species
AGAAUCAACGCUGGCGGCGUGCCUAACACAUGCAAGUCGAACGCGAAAGUCCCGCAAGGGAUAAGUAGAGUGGCAAACGGGUGAGUAACACGUGGGUGACCUGCCUUCGAGUGGGGGAUAACGUCCCGAAAGGGACGCUAAUACCGCAUAACAUCCUGCUUUUGAACAGGUGGAGAUCAAAGCUGGGGACCCGCAAGGGCCUGGCGCUUGAAGAGGGGCCCGCGUCUGAUUAGCUAGUUGGUGGGGUAAUGGCUCACCAAGGCAACGAUCAGUA